GGGGCCUUAGCUCAGCUGGGAGAGCGCCUGCUUUGCACGCAGGAGGUCAGCGGUUCGAUUCCGCUAGGCUCCAC
rnacentral:tRNA from 1 species